rnacentral:rRNA from 1 species
AUUGAACGCUGGCGGCAGGCCUAACACAUGCAAGUCGAACGGUAGCACAGAGGAGCUUGCUCCUUGGGUGACGAGUGGCGGACGGGUGAGUAAUGUCUGGGAAACUGCCCGAUGGAGGGGGAUAACUACUGGAAACGGUAGCUAAUACCGCAUAACGUCGCAAGACCAAAGAGGGGGACCUUCGGGCCUCUUGCCAUCGGAUGUGCCCAGAUGGGAUUAGCUAGUAGGUGGGGUAACGGCUCACCUAGGCGACGAUCCCUAGCUGGUCUGGGAGGAUGACCAGCCACACUGGAACUGAGACACGGUCCAGACUCCUACGGGCGGCAGCAGUGGGGAAUAUUGCACAAUGGGCGCAAGCCUGAUGCAGCCAUGCCGCGUGUAUGAAGAAGGCCUUCGGGUUGUAAAGUACUUUCAGCGAGGAGGAAGGCGUUGUGGUUAAUAACCGCAGCGAUUGACGUUACUCGCAGAAGAAGCACCGGCUAACUCCGUGCCAGCAGCCGCCGUAA